GAUGAACGCUGGCGGCGUGCCUAAUACAUGCAAGUCGAGCGAACGGACGAGAAGCUUGCUUUUCUGAUGUUAGCGGCGGACGGGUGAGUAACACGUGGAUAACCUACCUAUAAGACUGGGAUAACUUCGGGAAACCGGAGCUAAUACCGGAUAAUAUUUUGAACCGCAUGGUUCAAAAGUGAAAGACGGUCUUGCUGUCACUUAUAGAUGGAUCCGCGCCGCAUUAGCUAGUUGGUAAGGUAACGGCUUACCAAGGCAACGAUGCAUAGCCGACCUGAGAGGGGGGUCGGCCACACUGGAGCUGAGACGCGGCCCUGACUCCUACGAGGGGCCGCAGUAGGGAAUAUUCCGCAACGGGGGAAAGCAUGCCGGAGCAGCGACGCGUGAUGGGUGAAGAUCUUCGGCUCGUAAAAAACCGUUAUUAGGGAAGAACAUAUGUUUAAGUAACUGUGCACAUCUUGACGGUACCUACUAAGAAAGCCACGGCUAACUACGUC
rnacentral:rRNA from 1 species